rnacentral:misc_RNA from 1 species
GUAGGUGAACCUGCGGAAGGAUCAUUCAUAAUAAGUGUUUUAUGGCACUUUUUUAAAUCCAUAUCCACCUUGUGUGCAAUGUCAGGGUUGAUUUUUCUCUCGAGAGGAUCAGCCCCAGACAUCAACUAUAUCUCAACUCUUUGUCUGAAAAAUAUUAUGAAUAAAACAAUUCAAAAUACAACUUUCAACAACGGAUCUCUUGGCUCUC